GUGAACGCACCACUGGUGUUCGGGUUGUCAUGCCAAUGGCAUUGCCCGGUAGCUAAGUGCGGAAAAGAUAAGCGCUGAAAGCAUCUAAGCGCGAAACUUGCCUCAAGAUGAGUCUUCCCUGGGCCUUUAAGGCCCCUGAAGGAACGUUUAAGACUAAGACGUUGAUAGGCUGGGUGUGUAAGUGCAGCGAUGCAUUGAGCUAACCAGUACUAAUGAUCCGUGAGGCUUAACCUU
rnacentral:rRNA from 2 species